rnacentral:pre_miRNA from 10 species
UCAAAAAUAAAUUAAUCCCUCUCUUUCUAGUUCUUCCUAGAGUGAGGAAAAGCUGGGUUGAGAGGGCAAACAAAUUAACUAA